rnacentral:misc_RNA from 1 species
ACGGAAGAAGGGGAUUAUCAGGUAAAACUGCGCAACCUGAUACGUUUCCUUGAAGCCGGGGAUAAGGCCAAGGUAACACUGCGUUUCCGUGGUCGUGAGAUGGCCCAUCAGGAGCUGGGUAUGCAGCUGCUCCGUCGUGUCGAGGCUGACCUCGUCGCGCGGGAGCUCGGUACUGUAGAACAGCAGCCGAAGAUGGAAGGUCGCCAGAUGGUGAUGGUCGUCGCCCCGAAGAAGAAAAGUUAGCAAUUCUUCGAAGCCCGCGUUGUUUCUCUUUAGUAGAGAAGUAGCGUGGGUUUUGUCGACUUAAGCUAACGCAUUACAAACGAAUGCGUGGAGAUUGAAAAUGCCUA